rnacentral:rRNA from 1 species
UACGGAGGGUGCGAGCGUUGUCCGGAAUUACUGGGCGUAAAGGGCGCGUAGGCGGCCAUCUAAGUCGAACGUGAAAUCCCCGGGCUCAACCCGGGAACUGCGUCCGAUACUGGUUGGCUUGAAUCCGGGAGAGGGAUGCGGAAUUCCAGGUGUAGCGGUGAAAUGCGUAGAUAUCUGGAGGAACACCGGUGGCGAAGGCGGCAUCCUGGACCGGCAUUGACGCUGAGGCGCGAAAGCCAGGGGAGCAAACGGG